AUUGAACGCUGGCGGAAUGCUUUACACAUGCAAGUCGAACGGCAGCACGGACUUCGGUCUGGUGGCGAGUGGCGAACGGGUGAGUAAUGUAUCGGAACGUGCCCAGUCGUGGGGGAUAACGUAGUGAAAAUUACGCUAAUACCGCAUACGAUCUAUGGAUGAAAGCGGGGGAUCGCAAGACCUCGCGCGAUUGGAGCGGCCGAUAUCAGAUUAGGUAGUUGGGGGGGUAAAGGCCCACCAAGCCAACGAUCUGUAGCUGGUCUGAGAGGACGACCAGCAACACUGGAACGGGGACACGGUCAAGACUCCUACGAGAGGCAGCAGUGGGGAAGUUUGGACAAUGGGCGAAAGCCUGAUCCAGCCAUUCCGCGUGCAGGAUGAAGGCCCUCGGGUUGUAAACUGCUUUUGUACAGAACGAAAAGGUUUCUACUAAUACUAGGAGCUCAUGACGGUACUGUAAGAAUAAGCACCGGCUAACUACGUGCCAGCCGCCGCCGUAA
rnacentral:rRNA from 1 species